rnacentral:rRNA from 1 species
GACGAACGCUGGCGGCGUGCUUAACACAUGCAAGUCGAACGGAAAGGCCCUGCGUUUGUGGGGUGCUCGAGUGGCGAACGGGUGAGUAACACGUGAGUAACCUGCCCUUGACUUUGGGAUAACAUCAGGAAACUGGGGCUAAUAUCGGAUAGGAGCUCCUGCUGCAUGGUGGGGGUUGGAAAGUUUCGGCGGUUGGGGAUGGACUCGCGGCUUAUGAGCUUGUUGGUGGGGGAGUGGCUUACCAAGGCUUUGACGGGUAGCCGGCCUGAGAGGGUGACCGGCCACCUUGGGACUGAGGUGCGGCCCAGACUCCUACGGGAGGCAGCAGUGGGGAAUAUUGCACAAUGGGCGGAAGCCUGAUGCAGCAACGCCGCGUGCGGGAUGACGGCCUUCGGGUUGUAAACCGCUUUCGCCUGUGACGAAGCGUGAGUGACGGUAAUGGGUAGAGAAGCACCGGCUAACUACGUG